AGUGAACGCUGGCGGUAGGCCUAACACAUGCAAGUCGAACGGCAGCACAGUAAGAGCUUGCUCUUACGGGUGGCGAGUGGCGGACGGGUGAGGAAUACAUCGGAAUCUACUUUUUCGUGGGGGACAACGUAGGGAAACUUACGCUAAUACCGCAUACGACCUACGGGUGAAAGCAGGGGAUCUUCGGACCUUGCGCGAUUGAAUGAGCCGAUGUCGGAUUAGCUAGUUGGCGGGGUAAAGGACCACCAAGGCGACGAUCCGUAGCUGGUCUGAGAGGAUGAUCAGCCACACUGGAACUGAGACACGGUCCAGACUCCUACGGGAGGCAGCAGUGGGGAAUAUUGGACAAUGGGCGCAAGCCUGAUCCAGCCAUACCGCGUGGGUGAAGAAGGCCUUCGGGUUGUAAAGCCCUUUUGUUGGGAAAGAAAAGCAGCAGGUUAAUACCCCGCUGUUCUGACGGUACCCAAAGAAUAAGCACCGGCUAACUUCGUG
rnacentral:rRNA from 1 species